rnacentral:lncRNA from 1 species
UUUUAUUGACGAAAUGCCCCUGAGGAUGCUCUAGAUAGCGAAAGUAUACUUGGGCAAUAUUUAAUAAAUUCAGUGCUCAAUAUCUGCCUUUUGACUUUUAAAAUUCAUAAAACAUUUUAGUUAUAACUUUUAGUUCAAAAGUAACCUGUAAAUUUUUCUGUACUGCCGACAGGGUAUAUUUAGGUUUUGUUGGCUUGGGUGGUAGGGGCCCUUCAUAAAUUUAUGCUGUGUGUUCUCUACAUCUCAAUUUCUCUUUUAGGCACCCAGGAGAAGGACAUGGCCCUAUCCUUCCAAUAUGAGUAUUAUAGAAAAUUAACAGUUCCCCAGGCAGCUAUCCAAUGAGAAUCAUAGAAAAACUAACAGUUCCCUAGGCAACUAUCCAAU